rnacentral:rRNA from 1 species
AGAGCGAACGCUGGCGGCAGGCUUAACACAUGCAAGUCGAGCGCCCCGCAAGGGGAGCGGCAGACGGGAGAGUAACACGUGGGAACGUACCUUUCGGUUCGGAACAACCCAGGGAAACUUGGGCUAAUACCGGAUACGUCCGUAAGGAGAAAGAUUUAUCGCCGAAAGAUCGGCCCGCGUCUGAUUAGCUAGUUGGUGAGGUAACGGCUCACCAAGGCGACGAUCAGUAGCUGGUCUGAGAGGAUGAUCAGCCUCACUGGGACUGAGACACGGCCCAGACUCCUACGGGAGGCAGCAGUGGGGAAUAUUGGACAAUGGGCGCAAGCCUGAUCCAGCCAUGCCGCGUGGGUGAUGAAGGCCCUAGGGUUGUAAAGCCCUUUCGGCGGGAAGAUAAUGACGGUACCAGCAGAAGAAGCCCCGGCUAACUUCGCGCCAGCAGCCGC